rnacentral:rRNA from 1 species
UACCAGCACCCCGAGUGGUCGGGACGAUUAUUGGGCCUAAAGCAUCCGUAGCCGGUCAUGCAAGUCCUCCGUUAAAUCCACCUGCUUAACAGAUGGGCUGCGGAGGAUACUACAAGGCUAGGAGGCGGAAGAGGCAAGCGGUACUCAGUGGGUAGGGGUAAAAUCCUCUGAUCCAUUGAAGACCACCAGUGGCGAAGGCGGCUUGCCAAUACGCGCUCGACGGUGAGGGAUGAAAGCUGGGGGAGCAAGCCGG